GGGAUGCUUUACACAUGCAAGUCGAACGGCAGCACGAGAGAGCUUGCUCUCUUGGUGGCGAGUGGCGGACGGGUGAGUAAUAUAUCGGAACGUGCCCAGUAGCGGGGGAUAACUACUCGAAAGAGUGGCUAAUACCGCAUACGCCCUACGGGGGAAAGGGGGGGAUUCUUCGGAACCUCUCACUAUUGGAGCGGCCGAUAUCGGAUUAGCUAGUUGGUGGGGUAAAGGCUCACCAAGGCAACGAUCCGUAGCUGGUUUGAGAGGACGACCAGCCACACUGGGACUGAGACACGGCCCAGACUCCUACGGGAGGCAGCAGUGGGGAAUUUUGGACAAUGGGGGAAACCCUGAUCCAGCCAUCCCGCGUGUAUGAUGAAGGCCUUCGGGUUGUAAAGUACUUUUGGCAGAGAAGAAAAGGUAUCCCCUAAUACGGGAUACUGCUGACGGUAUCUGCAGAAUAAGCACCGGCUAACUACGUGCCAGCAGCC
rnacentral:rRNA from 1 species